GAAAGUAAACAAGGGCGCAUGGAGGAUGCCUAGGCUCUCGGAGGCGAAGAAGGACGUGAUAAGCUGCGAAAAGUUACGGUAAGGCGCAAAUAGCCCUAGACCCGUAAAUAUCCGAAUGGGGCAACCCGGCCAGCAAUGGCCAUACCGCUAAGCGGUAAGCCAACGCGGGGAACUGAAACAUCUAAGUACCCGCAGGAAAAGAAAAUAACCAUGAUUCCGCAAGUAGUGGCGAGCGAACGCGGAACAGCCCAAACCACCCGUGUUACGGCACGAGUGGGGUAGAAGGAUCCACGCUACGGCAAGAAAUAAGUUAGCAGAAUACGAUGGAAAUCGUAGCCAAAGACGGUGACAGCCCAGUACGCGAAAACCGACAGAAGCCCAGUGGACACCUGAGUAACCCAGGACACGAGAAAUCCGGGGCGAAUCAGCGGGGCCCAUCCCGUAAGGCUAAAUACUCCCGAGAGACCGAUAGCGAACCAGUACUGUGAAGGAAAGGUGAAAAGAACCUCGAACAGAGGAGUGAAACAGACCCUGAAACCAUGCGCCUACAAGCGGUCGGAGCAUGUUAAAAUGUGACGGCGUGCCUUUUGCAUAAUGAACCUACGAGUUACUCUCGCUGGCAAGGUUAAGCGAUUCAGUCGCGCAGCCGAAGCGAAAGCAAGUCCGAAUAAGGCGUACAGUCAGCGGGAGUAGACGCGAAACCAAGUGAUCUACCCUUGGUCAGGUUGAAGGUUGGGUAACACCAACUGGAGGACCGCACCGAUAAGCGUUGAAAAGCUUACGGAUGAACUGAGGGUAGGAGUGAAAGGCCAAUCAAACUUGGAGAUAGCUCGUACUCCCCGAAAUGCAUUUAGGUGCAGCCUCGAAGUAAAGUGAUAGAGGUAGAGCGACUGAUAAGAUGCGAGGGCUUCACCGCCUAUCAAGUCUUGACAAACUCCGAAUACUAUCACUUGAUCUUCGGGAGUGAGGGCAUGGGUGCUAAGGUCCAUGUCCGAAAGAGGAACAACUCAGACCACCAGCUAAGGUCCCGAAAUAAGGGCUAAGUUGAAUAAACGAAGUAAAACUGCAAAGACAGCUAGGAUGUUGGCUUGGAAGCAGCCAUUCAUUUAAAGAGUGCGUAACAGCUCACUAGUCGAGGAGUUUUGCAUGGAUAAUAAUCGGGCAUAAGCCCUUUACCGAAGCUGUGGAUGUCGCAAGACAUGGUAGGGGAGCAUUCCGGCGGCGACGAAGGCCGUCCUCGAGGACGACUGGAGCUUUCGGAAAAGCAAAUGUAGGUAUAAGUAACGAUAAAGGGGGCGCGAAACCCCCUCGCCAUAAGACUAAGGAUUCCUGAUCAACGCUAAUCGGAUCAGGGUAAGUCGGGCCCUAAGGCGCAGCCGAACGGCGCAGCCGAUGGAAGAAACGGUAAAGAUUCCGUUACUGGAUAUAGGAGCGAUGUGGAGACGGAGAAGUGACACACCCGCCUGCCGACGGAAGCGCAGGUUAAAGGAAGUAGGUAGACGCCGGGUAGGCAAAUCCGCCCAGCGUGCCGAAGCUGACAGUAUCGAGAGCCCCCGGGCAAUCGAAUAGCGGUGGUAAUCAGGCUCCCAAGAAAAUCCGCUAAGCAAAUUCUAUAUUCACCCGUACCCCAAACGGACACACGUAGUCGGGUAGAAUAUACCAAGGCGCUCGAAAGACUCACGGUUAAGGAACUAGGCAAAUUGACCCUGUAACCUCGGGAAAAAGGGUCCCCAGUAAGAUGGGGCGCAGAGAAUAGGUCCAGGCAACUGUUUAACAAAAACACAGGGCUGUGCAAAAUUUAGAGAUGAAGUAUACAGCCUGACACCUGCCCGGUGCCGGAAGGUUAAGAGGAGAGCUAAUCGCAAGAGAAGGCUUGAAUUGAAGCCCCGGUAAACGGCGGCCGUAACUAUAACGGUCCUAAGGUAGCGAAAUUCCUUGUCGGGU
rnacentral:rRNA from 1 species